UGGGGGAUAUUGCACAAUGGAGGAAACUCUGAUGCAGCAACGCCGCGUGAGGGAAGACGGUUUUCGGAUUGUAAACCUCUGUCUUUAGGGAAGAUAAUGACGGUACCUAAAGAGGAAGCUCCGGCUAACUACGUGCCAGCAGCCGCGGUAAUACGUAGGGAGCAAGCGUUGUCCGGAUUUACUGGGUGUAAAGGGUGCGUAGGCGGCUUAGCAAGUCAGGCGUGAAAACUAUGGGCUUAACCCAUAGACUGCGUUUGAAACUGUUGAGCUUGAGUGAAGUAGAGGUAGGCGGAAUUCCCGGUGUAGCGGUGAAAUGCGUAGAGAUCGGGAGGAACACCAGUGGCGAAGGCGGCCUACUGGGCUUUAACUGACGCUGAGGCACGAAAGCAUGGGUAGCAAACA
rnacentral:rRNA from 1 species